AGGAGGAAAACAAGCAUGCGGCUCACCUGAUUUUCAGUUCGUGCUCAACCAAUCUGGGAAGCAAUUGGCUAUUACUGGUGGUUACACAUUCUAUUGCAACGUGAAGAGGAGCACGACGAACACCUGGCGAUGUACCAGAUGGGGUCUGUGCAAAUCCAGGUUUAUUAUAACCAAGCAAGGUGUUCUGAUUACUGGCAACUUCGAACACAACCAUUUGCCACCCAGAUUUAUUAUAAUAAGACGGGAAUUAUUAUAAAAUUUAAAACAAGUGCAGUACGUGCCAAACAGAGGAGGAAAAAUUAUAUGUAUAUUGAACGGGUACACAUUCUACCGGGAUGGUAGAAGAAAAGCUACGGAUGUAUGGCAGUGUACGAAGUCUGGAAAUUGUAAAGCGAGGUUCAUCACGACGAAAGACAAGUACAUUUUACGAGCUAAUGUCGACCACACUCAUCCACCGCCUAAGUACAAGAUACAUAAGGGAGUGCUAUAUAAAAUUUAAAAUAUUUUUUUUAUGAUUAGAUAUUUCACAAUUAGUUAUUAAUCGCGAAAAAAUCUAUAUUAAAAUGGUGUUCUGACUGGCGGUAAGCCCAAUGAGAGAAAAGCUUCAGAUGUAUAGUAGUGUACAAAGUCUGGAAAUUGUAAAGCGAGGUUCAUCACGACGAAAGACGAGUACAUUUUACGAGCUAAUAUCGACCACACUCAUCCACCGCCUAACUACAAGAUACAUAAGGGAGUGUUAUAUAAAAUAUAAAAUACAUUUAUUAUGAUUAGCUAUUUCACAAUUAGUUAUUAAUUGCGAAAAAAAUCUAUAUUAAAAUGGUGUUCUGACUGGCGGUGUCCAAUUAGAGAAAAGCUACAGAUGUAUAGCAGUGUACGAAGUCCGGAAAUUGUAAAGCGAGGUUCAUCACGACGAAAGACAAGUACAUUUUACGAGCUAAUGUCGAUCACACUCAUCCACCGCCUAACUACAAGAUACAUAAGUUGCAUUCAUACCGAAUAAUAGAGGAAAAUUAAUGGCAGUAAUGAAUGGAUACACAUUCUACCGGGAUGGAAGAGCAAAAACUAGGGAUGUGUGGCAGUGUACGAAGACCGGACGAUGCAAUGCAAGGUUCACCACAACGAAAGAUAAUAUUUUGAUAAGAACUCAACUUGACCACACGCAUCCACCUCCUGUAUAUAAGAUACAUAAGGGGGUGUUAUAUAAAAUUUAAAACUCAUUUAUUUUACUUAGUUUAUACACUUGAUAAUCGUUAAUUGUAAACAUUAAUAAAAAAUAUAAUAUUAAUUCUGUUAAUGUAGCAAAAUAAUA
rnacentral:lncRNA from 1 species